AGUUGAGUGAGAAAUUGCAAAAGCCCUCGACACGCCAAUUUCGCGUUGGGCCUCAAAUCUCUCUCGGCUCUCCCUUCUUUGAUGUCAUCUCUACCAAUUCGUGUAAUGUUAAUAUGGCUGAUACGAUCAUAAUCUGCUUUUUUCGAGAAGAAUUUGACGGGAUCAGGAAAUCGGGCGUUCCAGAUUCAUUCGUCGAUGGUCCUUGACCAUCGGAUCGUGUAACACCAGGAACCGUGGUUGUGAAGAGAUUUGCUGGGAGGAGAUCAUUGGCGGCGGCGGGCUGCUUCUACCUCUCGACUUCUACUCUUGAGACUGAGAGAAACCAGGAUGAUUGACUCGCCCUUUGUCUACGUAAUUGAUCAUCAGAGGGACUUUAUCAAGGUUGAAUCACUUCGUCGUCUCCGGUGAAUGCUAGUUUUCGAUUUUGGAGGGAGCUUGGUGCAAACACAACUCGGUAGGAACAAUGUUGAUGUUAGAAAUGGCCCGAGGGCAUUGUAGCUUGGUGAUGGCCGUUGUAAGAUCUCGUGUUCAGAGCGAAGGAGAAAAAUUUUCUGGCAAAACUAGGGAUGGGCAUUUCGGUUGGGGAAUUUAGUCCAAGAAAUUUAACAAAGGGUGAUCAGUUAUGUUCAUGCCGGCAGAAUCCCAGAGCCCUGAGGUAGCAGUGGUUUGCCUUCAACCACAACAUUUGCACUGAAGUUGUCAAGGGGCAUCCAAAGAUUUUGGAGAAAGUAAAAUAUGCAUGAAGCUGCAAAAACCAGAUGCAAUUCCACACGACGCACAUGCACAGCAAUCACGACAACGUAGAAGCCAAUGUAAGAUUUCCAAAAAAAUGGGUGUUUUUCCUUGAAAGAUUCCGGAUAAAGGAACCAAGUUUGAGGCAUCUGGAUGGAUUCACGGUGUCUUUUAGCUAAAAGGCGCCGACUUUCAGAGACCCAUAUGGAUUUUUCAGCAAAAAGGAUCUAAUUUUUAGAUGCAUGGAUAGUUUUUUUUUUUUACAAAAGAAACUAAAAUCAGAGGAAACCCAGAUGGAAAUCAUGAUCAGAAAUUCAGAGAAUUGUUGCUCAAGGGAUUUUUCUUACAGUUGGGAAUU